rnacentral:rRNA from 1 species
UACAGAGGUCCCGAGCGUUGUUCGGAUUCACUGGGCGUAAAGGGUGCGCAGGUGGGUUGGCAAGUUUGAUGUGAAAGCCCCCGGGCUUAACCCGGGAAAGGCAUUGAAUACUGCUGAUCUGGAGGAUCGGAGGGGGGGACUGGAAUUCUUGGUGUAGCAGUGAAAUGCGUAGAUAUCAAGAGGAACACCAGUGGCGAAGGCGAGUCCCUGGACGAUACCUGACACUGAGGCACGAAAGCCAAGGGAGCAAACAGG